AAGAUUUUGAUGAAUUUAGUGAUGUCGAGGAUCUCUAUAGCACAUUGCCUAUGGAGAAGGUUGAAGCACUCGAAGACAUGGUUUCACUUGCUCCUUCCAGUCUUAUCAAGGGUGUUGCUGCUGUUUCCACUACUGCAGUUUUGAGUACGAAGAAUCCGAAAGCAACUUCACCUACUCAGGCUACUGUAUCAACAAUCUCACAAGGUACAUCACAAGAUCAAGCAGAGGAAACAACUUCAAUAGAAAGCAAUCCUGAACCGGUG